UCAUUUAUUUAGCUCAUUAGGACUUGCUCCAUUAUUGCGGCAUGGUAGAAAUAGGCUAUAUGUGCAUCCUAGCAUACAUUACAUAUCUUUGGGAUGAAUGUGAUUGUGGAAGCAAGUUUUUUGUUAUGACCAAGCAAAAAUAACAUCACAUAUCAAGGAUCGUGAUCUUCGAUCCAGAAAUUUUGCCAACCAGUUAGAAGCGGCUACCUUGGAACAAAUAGUUCUAAUUCCGUAUAAUACUGGUUUUCAUUGGAUGUUGCAUGUCAUCGAUCUUCGAGAGAACUGUGUUUAUGUUUUGGACUCUCUUCAAAGUAAAGUUAACGAAGACAUCCAUGGAGUCAUAAAUGUGACUUAUGAUUUACUUCUUAUUUGACUUCAUUGUCUUCUAAUUCUAAUGUUUCCAAAUGUAUAGAGGAUUAAAAACAUGGCAAGCUAAGCAUGAUUUACAACAUUAUCGGUCAAAUCCGAAAUGGAAACCUAUAAAGUUUAAUACAAAAAAGUGCAUAUACGCAAGAGGAGAUUGACGAGAUUUGAACAAAAUAUGCAAGCUUUGUUAGCCGAUUUGUGUAAGCUUUUACACUUUUUUUUGUAGUUUAUAAGUUACUAGUACUAAUACUAAUUGUUUUAAUAUAUAAGCUACGAGAUUCUAGUACUA